UCUUUCUCGAUCCUUAAAGUUUACACAGGCUCAUGUUCUGUUCAUCAUAUCAUCACCGACAUCACCCUGUGCAACGUUGCCACUUUUAUGGCCCGUAUUUCAAAUUUCUACUUCUUUUGUUGCAUUGUGCCAUUGAAUGUUCAUGAGAAUGAACUGUAUCGAAAAAGCAUAGCAACUGAUAUUUUACAUUAUUUAAUGCUAUAAAUUCAUGUUAGAAAAUUUUACUAAACUUAUUGAUCAAUUAUAAACACUUAAUCACUUCAUUUUAUUAUAUACGGUGGUCAUUUAUUAAAUUUUAAUUACUGAAAAUUAAGAACCUUCCAUAUACAACGUUAUAAGACUUUGAUUCUCAAUCCAGUAAUAAUACUUUAAUACUAUUAUGUAAGGUUAGUUUAUACAGAUCACUAAACCGGUUUGUUAAAUUGUAUACUGGAAAUCUGUAAUGGACCUUUUCCUCUUAUUUUCAGAACACAUACUCUUUUAAUGUCCUUAUUUAAAAGAAACGUGAAAUCAAUGCUGACAUGGAAAUGCUUUACAAUGAUUGAAAUAUGUUUAUAGAAGAUAAAUAUGACAGUUUUUUUACGUGUUUCGGUCUACAAAAACAAGUUUCAAGGUACGGAAUCCAUUGAUUUGAGAGCCGUAAGUAUAUGAAGUCAAGCAUCUUGAGCGUAUUUGACAGGUUACUUGGACGUCAUAUUGACUUCUAGCCACGAUUUGUCUAGUGAAUGUUGUUGCUGGCUGUAAAUAAAUGCACGUGGAUGACAACCAUUUUGCGGCGGGAUUAUAAAUCGUGAUUCAAAUUAUUACUUAUUAAUUUGAUAUCGGAUUAGAUAUGGGUGAUAGUUUACUUGCCGACCAGUUAUAACCAUGAAGAUAUAAAGAUAAAGUGUGUGAGUGGGCUGAAAAAGUGAUAUAGGAAUAGAAAAAGAAGGCUGCUACAGACUCCCUGUGUCUUUAUUUAAUCGUGCACAUUCGUACAAUAAAUAUGCAAGUGUAACACCGAUUAACGAGUGGUUUUAGCGUACAUGCCUGAUUAGAGAAGGGCAAAAGAGGUCUCUAUGCAGCGUUCUCUUUCUAUUCCCAUAUUCUUACAGACUUCUGUGCAUAUUCCAUUCAUUUACAUGAAAACAUAUUCACCCGUACUCUAUCUUUAUAUCUCUAAUUUCCUGCGAACUUUAGUUCAAUGCUCAUCUGUGCGAACCAGUCAUAAGAUGGAUAGAAGCCAAUAUGGCGUUGAAGUCAGAAAUUACAAAAUUACAAGGAAAGUCAAUCAUUUUGCAUCCUCUAAGGUAAAGAUUGCAUUUAUCACGUUUGAAAACGACGUAAUCAAAGGUAGGAGAAGAAAAAGUGGGAAAACACAACGGAAGUUGGUGUGCAAGGAAGACAGUUUCAACCAAAUAUAAUUCAUUACUUCUUUACAAUAAAAGUUAAAAAUUGUUUUUUCAAACCUAGAGUGAUUGUACAAAUCGCUAUAUAUUUGUACUAUUUAGAUGUUAUUUGGUAUUUGAAAUGUUUAAUCGAAAGGCACAAUUUCUGUAUAAUUUAUGUAAAUUCUAUAAACUUGUGUAAAUUAGUAACAAUUUACGAACAAUUUAACAAUUUUGAAACAUCAAAAAAUGUUAUAUUUAUAUGAUUGUUAAAACAAUGCAUUACAGAGAUAACAUACCAAUAUCAAAAGUUACGUCCUGACUUCGUUGGCUUGCCAAAUCUUUGAGAAACACUAUUAUCAAUAUUAUCAUACAAAACUCAAUCAUA